CGAUGGGAGCUUGCUCCCAGGCGUCGAGCGGCGGACGGGUGAGUAAUGCAUAGGAAUCUGCCCGGUAGUGGGGGAUAACCUGGGGAAACUCAGGCUAAUACCGCAUACGUCCUACGGGAGAAAGCAGGGGAUCUUCGGACCUUGCGCUAUCGGAUGAGCCUAUGUCGGAUUAGCUAGUUGGUGAGGUAACGGCUCACCAAGGCCGCGAUCCGUAGCUGGUCUGAGAGGAUGAUCAGCCACAUCGGGACUGAGACACGGCCCGAACUCCUACGGGAGGCAGCAGUGGGGAAUAUUGGACAAUGGGCGAAAGCCUGAUCCAGCCAUGCCGCGUGUGUGAAGAAGGCCCUCGGGUUGUAAAGCACUUUCAGUGAGGAAGAAGGCUUGUGGGUUAAUACCCCGCAAGAAGGACAUCACUCACAGAAGAAGCACCGGCUAACUCCGUGCCAGCAGCCGCGGUAAUACGGAGGGUGCGAGCGUUAAUCGGAAUUACUGGGCGUAAAGCGCGCGUAGGCGGCUUGAUAAGCCGGUUGUGAAAGCCCCGGGCUCAACCUGGGAACGGCAUCCGGAACUGUCAGGCUAGAGUGCAGGAGAGGAAGGUAGAAUUCCCGGUGUAGCGGUGAAAUGCGUAGAGAUCGGGAGGAAUACCAGUGGCGAAGGCGGCCUUCUGGACUGACACUGACGCUGAGGUGCGAAAGCGUGGGUAGCAAACAGGAUUAGAUACCCUGGUAGUCCACGCCGUAAACGAUGUCGACUAGCCGUUGGGGUCCUCGAGACCUUUGUGGCGCAGUUAACGCGAUAAGUCGACCGCCUGGGGAGUACGGCGCAAGGUUAAAACUCAAAUGAAUUGACGGGGCCCGCACAAGCGGUGGAGCAUGUGGUUUAAUUCGAUGCACGCGAGACCUUACUACCCUUGACAUCGAGCGAACUU
rnacentral:rRNA from 1 species